UAGGUCCACGUAACCUAAAAUGUCCUCUAAUCUAACAAUUAUGCUCUUCUAGUUGUAAUUUGUGUUGCCUUUUGACCUAAAUUGAGUUGGCAGGACAUUUUGGGUUGUGUGUGCAGUGAAAACAUCUAAAGAUUGUACCUCAUCUGCAACAUAAUAACUUUUCAGACUUGAGUGAGGAGGUGAUUACAAAAUGCAAAACAAUUAAGUGGCCAAGCUUAAGCUCAUGUCUAGUUCUUGAAGAAGCUUGCUGCUAACUGUGAUUUACGUUAAAUAGACCUCUUGUAGAUAGCCAUGUUCUGUUCUAUUUUGCGUUCAGAUUGAGAAAUAAAGGAGAAUGUCUUUAGCUUUAAUGGCUUGUCAUUGUCAAGAAUGUUGGUUUGUUGCCUUUUAAUUAUUGCAUGCUGAAUGUUGGAGUUGUAAUUCCCCCAUUGCAUAUGCUCUUAAUAGGGAUUUAGACACAACUAAUAAACCACUUGUUUUGUAAGCUAUAGAUGAAAAAUUGCCUUGAAACAUUGUGCAUCAAACCAAAGUCCUCGGUUCUGGCAUGGAAAUUAAGUGUUGCACUGACAAGCUUUUUGUUGUUUGUUUUUCAAAUGAUUAGCUGCCUGUAAGAUAGCCUUGACUAUUUCUAAUAAGAAGAAGUUAUGUUCCUUAAUAAGCCAAACAUUAAAAAAAACUUUGUUUUUGUUGCCUUGGAUAAUUUCCGAUGCCAUGUUUUUGCUGCUCACUAUCAUAAUGCCUUUUAUCUUUCACAUUCACUUAGGGGCAUUAGGGUCAACCCAAGAGUACAGGCCAGAGUUUUGCCUUAGCUGCGACAGCACGCAAGCAUACAUUUAAAAACACUCAAAUGUCACUAGGUAUCCACUGGUGAAUUGUUGGCUCUCUACAUUUUGAAUAUCCCAGUUACAUUCCACAAAUUCACAGCAUCACAUGUUGACAAGUGGUGCCACAAAACAUCCCUAGCACCAUAGAGACCAAUUGUCGUAUCCACUGCAGCUACAAGUUACUCAGUCCCUUAUAGAGAAGUGCCUUAUUCAGUUAAAAUAGAGAAUGUAGAAUGUAAAAUGAUAUGCCACAACUAACACAUGUAUUAUAGGACUUGGCACUUUCAGUUUUAAGCGAUUUUAGUGUUGCUCACAGUUUAUGGUCAUUGUUAAUUUCACUUUCACCAUGCGGUCCACUUGCAAGUUGUCCUGGUUGGAUUAUAAGUAUUAUACAUUAUACAUGUACAAGUGCAUCUUCUUUAUCUGAAAUUGAAGAAAAUACUAAUGAUAAUAAAAAUGAAUGAAAAUGAAAAUCAAAGUAUUUAUUUUAAUUGCAUUAAAUAAUCCAAAAUAUAUAAAAUUGACUAAAAUGUUCACAUUUUUCCAAUUUCAGUUUAUUGUGAUGCACCUGAAACAUGACUAUUUUUACUUGGAAUGUGACAAUCUUGAUAAAUGCAUUUGCAAUGUUAUGAUCACUCCUCUCAUGGUACUACUCUGCAAUAUCCACCAUUUUCUGUAUAGUACAAUGUUAAAAUGCACAUGGCAUGUCCAGUUUGUAUGUUAAAAGCCCAUUUUGGUGUUAAUUUAUAUGUUCAGUCACUAGGCCCAAAUGACAUUCACAGCCAUAUAUGUGUGGUCCAGAUCCCACAAUGCCUCCUUGUUCUGCUUUGAGAUUUCCAUACAUCUUCUAAAUGAUUGCCCUUUUUGUUUUAAUGUUGCUUAGUUUGACAAUGUUAAAUCAUUAAAGUUGAAUAUUGUAAAACAAAGCUGUGC
ensembl:lncRNA